rnacentral:rRNA from 1 species
CGGGAGGCAGCAGUUAGGAAUCUUCCACAAUGGGCGCAAGCCUGAUGGAGCGACACUGCGUGAGGGAAGAAGGCUCUAGGGUCGUAAACCUCUAAAAGUGAGACGAUAAUGACGGUAUCACUUGAGAAGCACCGGCUAACUCCGUGCCAGCAGCCGCGGUAAUACGGAGGGUGCAAACGUUAUCCGGAAUCACUGGGCGUAAAGGGCACGUAGGCGGAUUGUUAAGUCCGAUGUUAAAGCGUGGGGCUCAACCCCAUUAUGGCGUUGGAUACUGGCAAGCUAGACGAUUGGAGAGGUAAGUAGAAUUACCAGUGUAGCGGUGGAAUGCGUAGAUACUGGUAGGAAUACCAAUAGCGAAGGCAGCUUACUGGACAAUAUGUGACGCUGAGGUGCGAAAGUGGGGGGAGCGAACCGGAUUAGAUACCCGGGUAGUCCACACCCUAAAC